AUCUACAACCACCUUGAAUGUGCCCGAUCUUGUCUGAUCUCAGAAGCUAAGCAGGUUUGGGCCUGGGGGAUUGUUCUUUAAAACUGAGAUGAUUUCUUUAAGUUUGUGUUGGUC
ensembl:rRNA nuclear encoded rRNA 5S 189